UUCAUUCGUGACAAGUGGGAAGCUUUGAGAAUGAGGAGUGGGAAGCUCCCACUCUCUAUCAGUUCUUAAAAAAUUGGAGAAUGAGUUCAAACCCACUGCAUUAAAGUUUCCAUACGUGAGAAGUGGGAAGCUUUGAGAAGUGAGGAGAGGGAAGCUCCCACUCUCUAUCAGUUCCUAAAUGGAGAAUGAGAUGCAUUUCAAACAAGUCUCCAACUCUAAGAAACCUUUCUGCUCAUUCAAAUCCUCUUCAGAUUACUUCAAUAAAUCAGCCAUACAGAACCUCAUAUUACUUCCAACCUCCAAGACUGGAUGAAUGGUUUUUUGACAUGUUAAUGAAUGGAAAACGACCAUCUUCGUUCUUGGAUGCACAGAUCCUAACGGCUACCUUGGUUCCUGCACAGUAAAUGRCCAUCUUGGUUCAAGGAAAGUCCUUUGUGAAACCGCAAUCCCCUGAUUUCUUCAAACUUCAUUUUCAGAGAUCCGUUGUCAAUCCGGAAAUUUUGAAAAAAGUGAGAAGGAUGAAAAGUAGCCAAUGGGAUUAACUUCAAAUAUGACACUGUAAG